AUGGAGAAUUCUGGCACGUAUACUUUCAGUACUGCCAGCGUGGUCAAUAUCACUCGAGCUGAUUGGCUGGAAGGAAAUAAUUAUUACUGCGAGGCAACCCAUGCGGCGUCACAAACCAAGGUGAAAGGCAAAGCCAGGAAAUGUGAAGAUGGGAGCAGUUGUCCCUCCGGUGAUAUUAAGGUGGAUAUUCUGCCCCCAAGACCAAAAGCCUUGUACAUUGAUAGAAAUGGCAAGAUCAGCUGUGUGGUGAGCAAUCUGCAAAAUGAACAGGGGGUGAAAUUCACCUGGUCUCGGGAGAAGAGUGGACACCUGACUCCUGACUUAAUGGAAACGAUAGAAGAAUCAGGGGCUUACACUGUUGUCAGUCGCCUCAACGUCUUCCCUCAAGACUGGGAAUCAGGAGAGACUUUCACCUGUCUGGUGGAACAUCCAACCUUUGUUUCUCCCAUCACAAAGAAAAUUUCCAAGACCAGAGCUGCAGCUGAUGUCCAGUGGCUGCAGAAUCACAAUCCCGUGUCAGAGGACAACUAUGUGACUACUCCACCUAUGAAGAAUAAGCAUGAUGAUUCCUACUUUCUCUUCAGCAAACUUGCUAUCUCCAGGCCUGAAUGGGAAACCGGUUUAUUCACUUGUAUGGUGAUCCAUGAAGACCUCCCCAUGAAGUUCACCCAGAGGAACAUCUCAAAAACCCAGGGUAAAAAAUGA